rnacentral:rRNA from 1 species
GGUUAAGCGACUAAGCGUACACGGUGGAUGCCCUGGCAGUCAGAGGCGAUGAAGGACGUGCUAAUCUGCGAAAAGCGCCGGCGAGGUGAUAUGAACCCUUGACCCGGCGAUGUCCGAAUGGGGAAACCCAGUGCAAUCCGUUGCACUAUCGUUAACUGAAUACAUAGGUUAACGAGGCGAACCGGGGGAACUGAAACAUCUAAGUACCCCGAGGAAAAGAAAUCAACCGAGAUUCCCCCAGUAGCGGCGAGCGAACGGGGAGCAGCCCGGAGUCUGAAUCAGCUUGUGUGUUAGUGGAACGGUCUGGAAAGUCCGACGGUACAGGGUGAUAGUCCCGUACACGAAAGCACACUUGCUGUGAACUCGAAGAGUAGGGCGGGACACGUGGUAUCCUGUCUGAAUAUGGGGGGACCAUCCUCCAAGGCUAAAUACUCCUGACUGACCGAUAGUGAACCAGUACCGUGAGGGAAAGGCGAAAAGAACCCCGGCGAGGGGAGUGAAAAAGAACCUGAAACCGUGUACGUACAAGCAGUGGGAGCCUCUUUAUGGGGUGACUGCGUACCUUUUGUAUAAUGGGUCAGCGACUUAUAUUCUGUAGCAAGGUUAACCGUAUAGGGGAGCCGAAGGGAAACCGAGUCUUAACUGGGCGUUAAGUUGCAGGGUAUAGACCCGAAACCCGGUGAUCUAGCCAUGGGCAGGUUGAAGGUUGGGUAACACUAACUGGAGGACCGAACCGACUAAUGUUGAAAAAUUAGCGGAUGACCUGUGGCUGGGGGUGAAAGGCCAAUCAAACCGGGAGAUAGCUGGUUCUCCCCGAAAGCUAUUUAGGUAGCGCCUCGUGAACUCAUCUUCGGGGGUAGAGCACUGUUUCGGCUAGGGGGCCAUCCCGGCUUACCAACCCGAUGCAAACUACGAAUACCGAAGAAUGUUAUCACGGGAGACACACGGCGGGUGCUAACGUCCGUCGUGAAGAGGGAAACAACCCAGACCGCCAGCUAAGGUCCCAAAGUCAUGGUUAAGUGGGAAACGAUGUGGGAAGGCACAGACAGCCAGGAUGUUGGCUUAGAAGCAGCCAUCAUUUAAAGAAAGCGUAAUAGCUCACUGGUCGAGUCGGCCUGCGCGGAAGAUGUAACGGGGCUAAACCAUGCACCGAAGCUGCGGCAGCGACACUAUGUGUUGUUGGGUAGGGGAGCGUUCUGUAAGCCGUUGAAGGUGUGCUGUGAGGCAUGCUGGAGGUAUCAGAAGUGCGAAUGCUGACAUAAGUAACGAUAAAGCGGGUGAAAAGCCCGCUCGCCGGAAGACCAAGGGUUCCUGUCCAACGUUAAUCGGGGCAGGGUGAGUCGACCCCUAAGGCGAGGCCGAAAGGCGUAGUCGAUGGGAAACAGGUUAAUAUUCCUGUACUUGGUGUUACUGCGAAGGGGGGACGGAGAAGGCUAUGUCAGCCGGGCGACGGUUGUCCCGGUUUAAGCAUGUAGGCGGAGGUUCCAGGUAAAUCCGGUACCUUAUUAACGCUGAGGUGUGAUGACGAGGCACUACGGUGCUGAAGUGAUAAAUGCCCUGCUUCCAGGAAAAGCCUCUAAGCAUCAGGUAACACGAAAUCGUACCCCAAACCGACACAGGUGGUCAGGUAGAGAAUACCAAGGCGCUUGAGAGAACUCGGGUGAAGGAACUAGGCAAAAUGGUGCCGUAACUUCGGGAGAAGGCACGCUGAUGUGUAGGUGAAGCCCCUGCGGGCGGAGCUGAAAUCAGUCGAAGAUACCAGCUGGCUGCAACUGUUUAUUAAAAACACAGCACUGUGCAAACACGAAAGUGGACGUAUACGGUGUGACGCCUGCCCGGUGCCGGAAGGUUAAUUGAUGGGGUUAGCGGCAACGCGAAGCUCUUGAUCGAAGCCCCGGUAAACGGCGGCCGUAACUAUAACGGUCCUAAGGUAGCGAAAUUCCUUGUCGGGUAAGUUCCGACCUGCACGAAUGGCGUAAUGAUGGCCAGGCUGUCUCCACCCGAGACUCAGUGAAAUUGAACUCGCUGUGAAGAUGCAGUGUACCCGCGGCAAGACGGAAAGACCCCGUGAACCUUUACUAUAGCUUGACACUGAACACUGGUCCUUGAUGUGUAGGAUAGGUGGGAGGCUUUGAAGCGUGGACGCCAGUCUGCGUGGAGCCAACCUUGAAAUACCACCCUUUAAUGGCUGGUGUUCUAACGUAGACCCGUAAUCCGGGUUGCGGACAGUGUCUGGUGGGUAGUUUGACUGGGGCGGUCUCCUCCCAAAGAGUAACGGAGGAGCACGAAGGUUGGCUAAUCCUGGUCGGACAUCAGGAGGUUAGUGCAAUGGCAUAAGCCAGCUUGACUGCGAGCGUGACGGCGCGAGCAGGUGCGAAAGCAGGUCAUAGUGAUCCGGUGGUUCUGAAUGGAAGGGCCAUCGCUCAACGGAUAAAAGGUACUCCGGGGAUAACAGGCUGAUACCGCCCAAGAGUUCAUAUCGACGGCGGUGUUUGGCACCUCGAUGUCGGCUCAUCACAUCCUGGGGCUGAAGUAGGUCCCAAGGGUAUGGCUGUUCGCCAUUUAAAGUGGUACGCGAGCUGGGUUUAGAACGUCGUGAGACAGUUCGGUCCCUAUCUGCCGUGGGCGCUGGAGAAUUGAGGGGGGCUGCUCCUAGUACGAGAGGACCGGAGUGGACGCAUCACUGGUGUUCGGGUUGUCAUGCCAAUGGCACUGCCCGGUAGCUAAAUGCGGAAGAGAUAAGUGCUGAAAGCAUCUAAGCACGAAACUUGCCCCGAGAUGAGUUCUCCCUGAGACCUUGAGUCUCCUGAAGGAACGUUGAAGACGACGACGUUGAUAGGUCGGGUGUGUAAGCGCAGCGAUGCGUUGAGCUAACCGAUACUAAUGAACCGUGAGGCUUAACCUU